rnacentral:rRNA from 1 species
GGGGCAUGCGGGAAAAAUCGUUAGAGGCGGACGGGUGAGUAACACGUGGGUAACCUGCCUGUAAGACUGGGAUAACUCCGGGAAACCGGAGCUAAUACCGGAUAGUUCCUUGAACCGCAUGGUUCAAGGAUGAAAGACGGUUUCGGCUGUCACUUACAGAUGGACCCGCGGCGCAUUAGCUAGUUGGUGGGGUAAUGGCUCACCAAGGCGACGAUGCGUAGCCGACCUGAGAGGGUGAUCGGCCACACUGGGACUGAGACACGGCCCAGACUCCUACGGGAGGCAGCAGUAGGGAAUCUUCCGCAAUGGACGAAAGUCUGACGGAGCAACGCCGCGUGAGUGAUGAAGGUUUUCGGAUCGUAAAGCUCUGUUGUUAGGGAAGAACAAGUGCGAGAGUAACUGCUCGCACCUUGACGGUACCUAACCAGAAAGCCACGGCUAACUACGUGCCAGCAGCCGCGGUAAUACGUAGGUGGCAAGCGUUGUCCGGAAUUAUUGGGCGUAAAGGGCUCGCAGGCGGUUUCUUAAGUCUGAUGUGAAAGCCCCCGGCUCAACCGGGGAGGGUCAUUGGAAACUGGGAAACUUGAGUGCAGAAGAGGAGAGUGGAAUUCCACGUGUAGCGGUGAAAUGCGUAGAGAUGUGGAGGAACACCAGUGGCGAAGGCGACUCUCUGGUCUGUAACUGACGCUGAGGAGCGAAAGCGUGGGGAGCGAACAGGAUUAGAUACCCUGGUAGUCCACGCCGUAAACGAUGAGUGCUAAGUGUUAGGGGGUUUCCGCCCCUUAGUGCUGCAGCUAACGCAUUAAGCACUCCGCCUGGGGAGUACGGUCGCAAGACUGAAACUCAAAGGAAUUGACGGGGGCCCGCACAAGCGGUGGAGCAUGUGGUUUAAUUCGAAGCAACGCGAAGAACCUUACCAGGUCUUGACAUCCUCUGACACCCUAGAGAUAGGGCUUUCCCUUCGGGACAGAGUGACAGGUGGUGCAUGGUGUCGUCAGCUCGUGUCGUGAGAAUGUUGGGUUAAGUCCCGCACGAGCGCAACCCUUGAUCUUAGUUGCCAGCAUUCAGUUGG